UGAACGCUAGCGGCACGCUUCAUACAUGCAAGUCGAGGGGCAGCAUAAAGUACUUGUACUUUGAUGGCGACCGGCGAACGGGUGCGUAACGCGUAUGCAACUUACCUUUUACUAGAGAAUAGCCAAGAGAAAUUUUGAUUAAUGCUCUAUACUCUUUUUAACUCACAUGAGUUUUUAAGAAAAGCUCCGGCGGUAAAAGAUGGGCAUGCGUCCUAUUAGCUUGUAGGUGAGGUAACGGCUCACCUAAGCUCCGAUAGGUAGGGGUCCUGAGAGGGAGAUCCCCCACACUGGUACUGAGACACGGACCAGACUUCUACGGAAGGCAGCAGUAAGGAAUAUUGGACAAUGGAGGAAACUCUGAUCCAGCGAUGCCGCGUGAAGGAAGACGGCCCUAUGGGUUGUAAACUUCUUUUAUACAGGAAGAAACCUUUCCACGUGGGAAAGCUGACGGUACUGUAAGAAUAAGGAUCGG
rnacentral:rRNA from 1 species